AGGCCUUCGGGUUGUAAAGUUCUGUCUUCUGGGACGAUAAUGACGGUACCAGAGGAGGAAGCCACGGCUAACUACGUGCCAGCAGCCGCGGUAAUACGUAGGUGGCAAGCGUUGUCCGGAUUUACUGGGCGUAAAGGAUGCGUAGGCGGACAUUUAAGUCAGAUGUGAAAUACCCGAGCUUAACUUGGGUGCUGCAUUUGAAACUGGGUGUCUAGAGUGCAGGAGAGGUAAGUGGAAUUCCUAGUGUAGCGGUGAAAUGCGUAGAGAUUAGGAAGAACACCAGUGGCGAAGGCGGCUUUCUGGACUGUAACUGACGCUGAGGCA
rnacentral:rRNA from 1 species